rnacentral:tRNA from 1 species
GGCAGUUUAGCUUAAUGAUAAAGCACUUGAUGCACAAUCACAGAGAUGUGAGUUCGAGUCUCAUGGCUGGCC